rnacentral:rRNA from 1 species
CCUACGGGUGGCAGCAGUGGGGAAUAUUGGGCAAUGGGCGCAAGCCUGACCCAGCCACGCAGCGUGAAGGAAGAAGGCUUUCGGGGUAUCAACUUCUUUUCUCAGGGCAGAAGCAAGUGACGGUAACUGAGGUAUAAGCCACGGCUAACUACGUGCAAGCAGCCGCGGUAAUACGUAGGUGGCAAGCGUUAUCCGGAUUUACUGGGUGUAAAGGGCGUGUAGGCGGGACUGCAAGUCAGAUGUGAAAACCACGGGCUCAACCUGGGGCCUGCAUUUGAAACUGUAGUUCUUGAGUACUGGAGAGGCAGACGGAAUUCCUAGUGUAGCGGUGAAAUGCGUAGAUAUUAGGAGGAACACCAGUGGCGAAGGCGGUCUGCUGGACAGCAACUGACGCUGAGGCGCGAAAGCGUGGGGAGCAAACAGGAUUAGAUACCCCAGUAGUC